rnacentral:rRNA from 1 species
UAUUCCGCAAUGGACGAAAGUCUGACGGAGCAACGCCGCGUGAGUGAUGAAGGAUUUCGGAUCGUAAAACUCUGUUAGUAGGGAAGAACAACUGUGCAAGUAACCGUGCACAUCUUGACGGUACCUAAUCAGAAAGCCCCGGCUAACUACGUGCCAGCAGCCGCGGUAAUACGAAGGUGGCAAGCGUUAUCCGGAAUUAUUGGGCGUAAAGCGCGCGUAGGCGGUUUCUUAAGUCUGAUGUGAAAGCCCACGGCUCAACCGUGGAGGGUCAUUGGAAACUGGGAAACUUGAGUAUAGAAGAGGAAAGUGGAAUUCCAUGUGUAGCGGUGAAAUGCGCAGAGAUAUGGAGGAACACCAGUGGCGAAGGCGACUUUCUGGUCUGUAACUGACGCUGAUGUGCGAAAGCGUGGGGAUCAAACAG